rnacentral:miRNA from 1 species
UAGCACCAUAUGAAAUCGGUGUC